rnacentral:rRNA from 1 species
UAUAUAUUUAAUUCUAAUUUUAAGAUUAGUUUUUCUGAUAUCAAUUAUGUUAGCUUUUUAAAUAAUAAAGUUUGUAUAAGGAAAUCUCUUAAUAUAAUCAGGUAUAAGUGAUUAAGAUAUAGAGUUUGCCAAUAUUGUGCCAGCAGCAGCGGUUAUACAAUUAACAUCUAAUUUAUAUAGUAUAGUUAGCUACAAUAAGUGAAAAGGUGAAAUUUUUAGUAGUGAAAUUAAUGGUAGCAUUAAUAAAUAAUAACAAAAACAAGGAUUAGAUACCCUUUUAUUAUUAAACAAUUAGUAAAAUUUGAGAGCUUUAAACAAAAGAAUUUGGCGGUGUUUCAUUCAAUUAGGGGAUCCUGUAGUUUAAUUUGAUAGUCCACAGUUUAUCUAUCUAAUAUUUGAAAAUAACAAUAAAUGUAUUGCCGUAUCAUAGUUCUUUAUAAAGAAAUUAUAAUAACUAUAUAAUAUAUAAAAAUCACAGGUAAAAUAUUGUUUAUGUAUUAGAAUUAAUGGGGUACUUUAAUUUAAAGAUAAUAUUAGUACUAGAAUAAAUGUACUAAAAAUUAGGACUUAAUAGUAAUUAAUUUAAAUUAAAUUAAUGAAUUAGAACUUGAAAUAAGCACAUAUUGCCCGUCGGUUUCUUUUUAAAUAGGAUAAGUCGUAACAUAGUAGGUGUAAUGGAAAUUGUAUCUCAAUUUAU